ensembl:lncRNA
UUCAAAAAAAAGAAGGAAUAAGAGAAGAAGGAACAACAAACCAACCCCAAACGAGCAAAUUUGAUAACAUUUUGGCAUUUUACGAAUUUUGUUUUUGUAAAGUUGUAAAAAAAAAAGUAAAAAAACUAUUGGUUUAUAACCCUAUUUGUAUUUAUUUGGAAACUUGGCUAUCCAAAGUGUCCAAUUGUUUAGUCUAUUUUUUAUUUUCUAUUUUGAAACAAUUUUGUUCAAGCAGAUAUACCACGAAUAGAUUUAGACUAAGGCACAAUAGCAAUAUGCCUAAAAUAAAAGCUUUAGGUGAAAAAAACAAAAAAAAAUUGUUAAAAAAAGGAAUAAAAACAAAAAAAAAAACAUUGUAUUAUCAAUCGUUUAGUAAUUUUAACGAUAUGAAAAAAAAAGAAAUAGAUUUUAAAAGAAACAUAAUAAGUUUUUAUAAACUAGUAUUAAAUUAUUUUUUUGAUUUUGAUUAUAUUAGGGAGGAGUUAAAUUUGGUUGGUUCUGGUAUACGUAGAAAUUUGUUGGACCAUGAAUGUAAAGCUAAGUUACCAAGUGCUGGUGAGGCUUCGAUUAGUAGUGGAAGUAGUAGUAGUGGAAGUAGUAGCAGUGGUAGUAGUGGCAGUAGCAGUGGUAGUAGUGGCAGUAGUAGUGGCAGUAGUAGUGGCAGUAGUAGUGGCAGUAGCAGUGACAGUGGCAGUAGCAGUGACAGUGGCAGUAGCAGUGGCAGUAACAGUAACAGUAGCAGUAGCAGUGACAGUAGCAGUGGCAUGUGUUUACCGCAUAAACAAGCAAGAAAUAAUAAGAGCAGUGCCAAAACACGCGACAUGUGCUUUUGCUUCCUGAACAAAUAUGAAAUAAAAAACAAAAUUAAAAUAGUUAAAAUAAAAAAUGAAAGAAAAAAAAAAAGAAAAGAAAGAACAGGGCACUUUUAUAUAAUGAGAUAUAAAUUUUAUGAGCAAAAAAUUGAUUUAUUUAUGGAUUCAGAGAAAGGUAAAUUUAUUUUUAAAUGUCAUUGGGAAGACAGUUUUAUAAAUCUUAUUGGUUUGUAUUACAAUUUGAAACUAAUUAUAUAUGUAAUUUAUCUGUUAAAAUAUUUUUCUUUAUAUAUAUAUAUUUAUAAUUUAUUAAAAAAGAAUUUUGUUAAUUUAUUACCUGGAAAUGCUCAAAGUAUUGGUAGUAAAAACACUAAUAUUAAUAAUCUUGAUAAUAGUAAUAAUAAUGUUAAUACUAAUGGAAGUUUUAAAUUAAUCAACAAAUAUAUGAACUGUCAUUUUUAUUAUCACAAACUACAAUUAUAUGACUUUUUAAAAAAAUAUAAUUAUUCAAUAAAUAUAGACUUAACAAACUUUUUAAGCAAUUUUUUUGAAUAUAUAGAUUUCUGGUAUUAUCUUUAUGUACCUAAGGGGGGUGGUACCACUUCUUCAUCUGGUAGUUAUUAUGAGCGAUUCGAGUUGUUUAUGCGAAAUAUUAUUCAUUCUUAUAGUUCGACAGGUGGUAGUAGUGGUAGUAGUAGUAGUAGUAGUAGUAGUAAUGGUGGUAGUAGUAGUGGUGCUACUACUGGUGAUGACGAUAGGAUUUUUGAAACUAGCUGUAAUAAUAGUAAUAUUCCUGAAGAAUAUGUGUUCCGCUCAAGUAAUUAUAAAAGUAGUGAAAAUGUUGCCAAUAAAAAUGGAACAAAAAAAAAUAUGAUUUUAAAAAAAAGUAAAAAAAAUAGGUCUUAUAGACAUAAUUUUUUUACAAUUUUUUAUUAUACUAUUUAUAUACAGGAUAAAACACCAG